AUUACCAUCUCUUAUCUUUUCCAAUAAGAUAUAAUAAUAGUUCUUUAAGUAAAAGAAAAUGGUUAUUUUGAAAACCGAUAAUUAGGACGUGGUGGUGUGGUGUAUCUCGAGCAUCAGGAGAAUUGAAGAAAAGGGAGUAAUUAGUGUACUGUGUGGCUCUUGUUAUAGGUCAACAUCUAAAUUUUAAGGUAUACAUAUACAAGAACUUGAGGGUAUGGAUUAAUUGGGUUGUGGCAAGGUGAGUACGUUGGUAUGCAUAUAUAUGUACCAUGGGGUUUAACAUGAGUUAUGUGAGACCGGUGGGCGUUAAUUCAUGUUAACUUAUGUUGUUAUGAUUGGUAGAGACCACAGUAUCGGGUGACGACUCGAUGUACUUAGUGGCACCGGUAUGGAUCCAUAUCUAAUAUUUGUUGCUUAGGAACAUUAUGUGAGACUGACGGGCAUUAAUGUUCUAAAGUUUAUUGUAGUGUGCCAUGAUAUGUGUAUAUGUUUAUAAACGUACCCACUAAGCAUUCGCUUAUAUUUUAGUCGUUUAUAUUUUGUAGGCGAUCAAGUUGACAAAAGCAAGAAGUGAACCGACUAGAAGGCUUACUACAUAGAAGUACUUGGAAGUAGUAAUAAUCAUUGAAGGUCUCUUUUAAGGUAGUUUUAGAUUGUACUAUUAAUUUUGGGGUUAGACGUCUCUUGUCAUGUGCUCUUGAUACCCCCCCUUGUGCUUAAUGGUGUCAUUUUGUUGUUACCGCCAAUUUAACCUGUGGGUUAGUAUUGACAUCACCUGACAUAUAAUGCUUAAAAGUUUUAAUCUAGUAAUGUUUAAAAGGUAGUUGGUAUAACAGAUUGUAUUAGUUAAAAAUCAUAGCAAAUGUCGUGUAAUGUGAUGCU